GACGAACGCUGGCGGCGUGCUUAACACAUGCAAGUCGAACGGAAAGGCCCUGCUUUUGUGGUGUGCUCGAGUGGCGAACGGGUGAGUAACACGUGAGUAACCUGCCCUUGACUUUGGGAUAACUUCAGGAAACUGGGGCUAAUACCGGAUAGGAGCUCCUGCUGCAUGGUGUGGGUUGGAAAGUUUCGGCGGUUGGGGAUGGACUCGCGGCUUAUCAGCUUGUUGGUGGGGUAGUGGCUUACCAAGGCUUUGACGGGUAGCCGGCCUGAGAGGGUGACCGGCCACAUUGGGACUGAGAUACGGCCCAGACUCCUACGGGAGGCAGCAGUGGGGAAUAUUGCACAAUGGGCGGAAGCCUGAUGCAGCAACGCCGCGUGCGGGAUGACGGCCUUCGGGUUGUAAACCGCUUUCGCCUGUGACGAAGCGUGAGUGACGGUAAUGGGUAAAGAAGCACCGGCUAACUACGUG
rnacentral:rRNA from 1 species